rnacentral:snRNA from 1 species
AUACUUACCUGGCGUAGGGGCUACCGUGAUCACGAAGGCGGUUCCCCCAGGGCGAGGCCCCUCCAUUGCACUGCGGUUGGGUUGACCCCUGCGAUUAUCCCUAAUGCGGAUAACUCGGAC